AUACGGAGGGUGCAAGCGUUACUCGGAAUCACAGGGCGUAAAGCGCGCGCAGGCGGCUAUUUAAGUUGGAUGUGAAAGCCUAUGGCUCAACCAUAGAACUGCAUCCAAAACUAUUUAGCUAGAGUGUGGGAGAGGAAGAUGGAAUUAGUUGUGUAGGGGUAAAAUCCGUAGAGAUAACUAGGAAUACCAAAAGCGAAGGCAAUCUUCUGGAACACUACUGACGCUGAGGCGCGAAAGCGUGGGGAGCAAACAGGAUUAGAAACCCUAGUAGUCC
rnacentral:rRNA from 1 species